rnacentral:rRNA from 1 species
UACGUAGGGUGCGAGCGUUGUCCGGAAUUACUGGGCGUAAAGAGCUCGUAGGUGGUUUGUCGCGUUGUUCGUGAAAACUCACAGCUUAACUGUGGGCGUGCGGGCGAUACGGGCAGACUGGAGUACUGCAGGGGAGACUGGAAUUCCUGGUGUAGCGGUGGAAUGCGCAGAUAUCAGGAGGAACACCAGCGGCGAAGGCGGCGCUCUGGGCCGGUACUGACACUGAGGAGCGAAAGCGUGGGUAGCAAACAGG